CCCUUAGAUGUUCUGGGCCGCACGCGCGCUACAAUGGUCUUCGCAGACGGAUGCAUUCUCGAAGGAGAAUGCCAAUCUUGGAAUCUAUGCCUUGGUCGGGACAGUUGCUUGCAAUUUUUCGACUCGAACCAGGAAUUCCUUGUAAUCGUGAUUCAUCACAUCACGAUGAAUACGUCCCUGCCCUUUGUACACACCGCCCGUCGCUCCUACCGAUCGAAGAGUUAGGUGAAUUGUUUUGAUCGAUAAGAUUUGACUAUGGUCAACUCUCGUUGUGAAAUUCUGUGAAUCUGACUGUUUAGAGGAAGGAAAAGUCGUAACA
rnacentral:rRNA from 1 species